UACGGGGGGGGCAAGGGUUGUUCGGAAUUACGGGGCGUAAAGGGCUCGUAGGCGGCCAACUAAGUCAGACGUGAAAUCCCUCGGCUUAACCGGGGAACUGCAUCUGAUACUGGAUGGCUUGAGUUCGGGAGAGGGAUGCGGAAUUCCAGGUGUAGCGGUGAAAUGCGUAGAUAUCUGGAGGAACACCGGUGGCGAAGGCGGCAUCCUGGACCGACACUGACGCUGAGGAGCGAAAGCCAGGGGAGCAAACGGG
rnacentral:rRNA from 1 species